GACGAACGCUGGCGGCGUGCUUAACACAUGCAAGUCGAGCGGUAAGGCCCUUUCGGGGGUACACGAGCGGCGAACGGGUGAGUAACACGUGGGUGACCUGCCCUCAGCUCUGGGAUAAGCCUGGGAAACCGGGUCUAAUACUGGAUAUGACUCCAUGACGCAUGUUGUGGGGUGGAAAGCCUUGUGCGGCUGAGGAUGGGCCCGCGGCCUAUCAGCUUGUUGGUGGGGGAUGGCCUACCAAGGCGACGACGGGUAGCCGGCCUGAGAGGGCGACCGGCCACACUGGGACUGAGACACGGCCCAGACUCCUACGGGAGGCAGCAGUGGGGAAUCUUGCGCAAUGGGCGAAAGCCUGACGCAGCGACGCCGCGUGAGGGAUGACGGCCUGGUGUAA
rnacentral:rRNA from 1 species